UAUUAUGAAGGGUGUGUUUUGAGAGUAGAUGUGUGUCUUAUACUAUGAAGGGUGUGUUUUGAGAGUAAAGGGUGUGUCUUAUACUAUGAAGGGUGUGUUUUGAGAGUAGAUGUGUGUCUUAUACUAUGAAGGGUGAGUUUUGAGAGUAAAGGGUGUGUCUUAUACUAUGAAGGGUGUGUUUUGAGAGUAGAUGUGUGUCUUAUACUAUGAAGGGUGUGUUUUGAGAGUAGGGGGCGUGUCUUAUACUAUGGAGUGUUUGAGAGUAGAGGGUGUGUCUUAUACUAUGGAGUGUUUGAGAAUAGAUGUGUGUCUUAUACUAUGGAGUGUUUGAGAGUAGAGGGUGUGUCUUAUACUAUGGAGUGUUAUGAGUGUAGGGGGUGUGUCUUAUCCUAUGAAGGGUGUGUUUUGAGAGUAGAUGUGUGUCUUAUACUAUGGAGUGUUUGAGAGUAGAGGGUGUGUCUUAUACUAUGGAGUGUUAUGAGUGUAGGGGGUGUGUCUUAUCCUAUGAAGGGAGUAUUUUGAGAGUAGAUGUGUGUCAUACUAUGGAGUGGUAUGAGUGUAGAGGGUGUGUCUUAUACUAUGAAGGGUAUGUUUUGAGAGUAGAUGUGUGUCUUAUACUAUGGAGUGUUAUGAGUGUAGGAGGUGUGUCUUAUACUAUGGGGUGUUAUGAGUGUAGGGGGUGUGUCUUAUCCUAUGAAGGGAGUAUUUUGAGAGUAGAUGUGUGUCUUAUACUAUGGAGUGUUUUGAGAGUAGAUGUGUGUCUUAUACUAUGGAGUGUUUUGAGAGUAGAGGGUGUGUCUUAUACUAUGAAGGGUGUGUUUUGAGAGUAGAUGUGUGUCUUAUACUAUGAAGGGUGUGUUUUGAGUGUAGGGGGUGUGUCUUAGACUAUGAAAGGUGUAUUUUGAGAGUAGAGGGUUUGUAUUAUACUAUGAAGGGUGUGUUUUGAGAGUAGAUGUGUGUCUUAUACUAUGAAGGGUGUGUUUUGAGAGUAGAUGUGUGUCUUAUACUAUGAAGGGUGUGUUUUGAGAGUAGAGGGUGUGUCUUAUACUAUGAAGGGUGUGUUUUGAGAGUAGAUGUGUGUCUUAUACUAUGAAGGGUGUGUUUUGAGAGUAGAGGGUGUGUCUUAUACUAUGAAGGGUGUGUUUUGAGUGUAGGGGGUGUGUCUUAGACUAUGAAAUGUGUAUUUUGAGAGUAGAGGGUGUGUCUUAUACUUUGAAGAGUGUGUUUUGAGAGUAGAGGGUGUGUCUUAUACUAUGACGGGUGUGUUUUGAGAGUAGAGGGUGUGUCUUAUACUAUGAAGGGUGUGUUUUGAGAGUAGAUGUGGGUGUAUUUUGAGAGUAGAGGGUGUGUCUUAUACUAUGAAGGGUGUGUUUUGAGAGUAGAGGGUGUGUCUUAUACUAUGAAGGGUGUGUUUUAAGAGUAGAGGGUGUGUCUUAUACUAUGAAGGGUGUGUUUUGAGAGUAGAGGGUGUGUCUUAUACUAUGAAGGGUGUGUUUUGAGAGUAGAUGUGUGUCUUAUACUAUGGAGUGUUUGAGAGUAGAGGGUGUGUCUUAUACUAUGGAGUGUUUGAGAGUAGAGGGUGUGUCUUAUACUAUGGAGUGUUUGAGAGUAGAUGUGUGUCUUAUACUAUGGAGUGUUUGAGAGUAGAUGUGUGUCUUAUACUAUGGAGUGUUUGAGUGUAGGGGGUGUGUCUUAUACUAUGGAGUGUUUGAGAGUAGAUGUGUGUCUUAUACUAUGGAGUGUUUGAGAGUAGAGGGUGUGUCUUAUACUAUGGAGUGUUAUGAGUGUAGGGGGUGUGUCUUAUACUAUGGAGUGUUUGAGAGUAGAGGGUGUGUCUUAUACUAUGGAGUGUUUGAGAGUAGAUGUGUGUCUUAUACUAUGGAGUGUUUGAGAGUAGAGGGUGUGUCUUAUACUAUGGAGUGUUAUGAGUGUAGGGGGUGUGUCUUAUCCUAUGAAGGGAGUAUUUUGAGAGUAGAUGUGUGUCAUACUAUGGAGUGGUAUGAGUGCAGAGGGUGUGUCUUAUACUAUGGAGUGUUAUGAGUGUAGGGGGUGUGUCUUAUCCUAUGAAGGGUGUGUUUUGAGAGUAGAUGUGUGUCUUAUACUAUGGAGUGUUUGAGAGUAGAGGGUGUGUCUUAUACUAUGGAGUGUUAUGAGUGUAGGAGGUGUGUCUUAUACUAUGGGGUGUUAUGAGUGUAGGGGGUGUGUCUUAUCCUAUGAAGGGUGUGUUUUGAGAGUAGAUGUGUGUCUUAUACUAUGGAGUGUUUUGAGAGUAGAGGGUGUGUCUUAUACUAUGAAGGGUGUGUUUUGAGAGUAGAUGUGUGUCUUAUACUAUGAAGGGUGUGUUUUGAGUGUAGGGGGUGUGUCUUAGACUAUGAAAGGUGUAUUUUGAGAGUAGAGGGUGUGUCUUAUACUAUGAAGGGUGUGUUUUGAGAGUAGAUGUGUGUCUUAUACUAUGGAGUGUUUGAGAGUAGAGGGUGUGUCUUAUACUAUGAAGGGUGUGUUUUGAGAGUAGAGGGUGUGUCUUAUACUAUGAAGGGUGUGUUUUGAGAGUAGAGGGUGUGUCUUAUACUAUGAAGGGUGUGUUUUGAGAGUAGAGGGUGUGUCUUAUACUAUGAAGGGUGUGUUUUGAGAGUAGAGGGUGUGUCUUAUACUAUGAAGGGUGUGUUUUGAGAGUAGAGGGUGUGUCUUAUACUAUGAAGGGUGUGUUUUGAGAGUAGAGGUUGUGUCUUAUACUAUGAAGGGUGUGUUUUGAGAGUAGAGAGUGUGUCUUAUACUAUGAAGGGUGUGUUUUGAGAGUAGAGGGUGUGUCUUAUACUAUGGAGGGUGUGUUUUGAGAGUAGAUGUGUGUCUUAUACUAUGAAGGGUGUGUUUUGAGAGUAGAGGGUGUGUCUUAUACUAUGAAGGGUGUGUUCUGAGAGUAGAUGUGUGUCUUAUACUAUGGAGUGUUUGAGAGUAGAGGGUGUGUCUUAUACUAUGAAGGGUGUGUUUUGAGAGUAGAUGUGUGUCUUAUACUAUGAAGGGUGUGUUUUGAGAGUAGAGGGUGUGUCUUAUACUAUGAAGUGUGUGUUUUGAGAGUAGAUGUGUGUCUUAUACUAUGAAGGGUGUGUUUUAAGAGUAGAGGGUGUGUCUUAUACUAUGAAGGGUGUGUUUUGAGAGUAGAGGGUGUGUCUUAUACUAUGAAGGGUGUGUUUUAAGAGUAGAGGGUGUGUCUUAUACUAUGAAGGGUGUGUUUUGAGAGUAGAGGGUGUGUCUUAUACUAUGAAAGGUGUGUUUUGAGAGUACAGGGUGUGUCUUAUACUAUGAAGGGUGUGUUUUGAGAGUAGAUGUGUGUCUUAUACUAUGAAGGGUGUGUUUUGAGAGUAGAGGGUGUGUCUUAUACUAUGAAGGGUGUAUUUUUAGAGUAGAGGGUGUGUCUUAUACUAUGAAGGGUGUGUUUUGAGAGUAGAGGGUGUGUCUUAUACUAUGAAGGGUGUGUUUUGAGAGUAGAGGGUGUGUCUUAUACUAUGAAGGGUGUGUUUUGAGAGUAGAUGUGUGUCUUAUACUAUGAAGGGUGUGUUUUGAGA